UUCGAAAAAAAUUUAUUUACAGAAGAGGCUCGAAUGGAAUUCGCUUACAGUAGAUAUCCAGAGUAGACCACCUGCAGUAGGAGUUCGGUUCUCGCAAGAGCUCGGUUGGAAUUUGGAAGGUGGUCGACCACCGUAAAAAUUUGGAUGGAGUCUGGUUACUGUAGAAAUCUCAUUGUCGGAGAAACUCGGAUAUUGAUGAAGUCUGGAAGA
rnacentral:lncRNA from 1 species